GAUGAAGAACGUAGCGAAUUGCGAUAUGUAAUGUGAAUUGCAGAAUUCAGUGAAUCAUCGAAUCUUUGAACGCACCUUGCACUCCUUGGUAUUCCGAGGAGUACGCCUGUUCGAGUGUUAUGAAGCUCUCAAAACGCAAUUGGCUUAAAACCUGAUUGUUGUUUUGGAUUUGAACUUUGCCGUGUUAUAACGGCUGGUUUUAAAAGUAUUAGCUGGUACUAGAACGAAUUGGUUCUACUCAACGUGAUAAUUAUCUGAUCGUUGAGGACAUUCCUUUCACGAGGAAUGGCCAUAGUAAAUUCAAUGGACUGCUUCUAAUCUGGCUUUAAUUCUUUAUUGGAUUAACCACUUUUCAAAUCUGACCUCGAAUCAGGUGGGACUACCCGCUGACCUUAAGCAUAUCAAUAAGCGGAGGA
rnacentral:misc_RNA from 1 species